GCAUCUGUAGUGUAGUGGUUAUCAUCCCAGCCUUCCAUCACAUGGCUCAGCUGGGGACCCGGUUUCGAUUACCGGCGGAUGCA
rnacentral:tRNA from 1 species